rnacentral:rRNA from 1 species
CCCUUAGAUGUUCUGGGCUGCACGCGCGCUACACUGAAGCUAUCAACACGUUUUCCCUCCCUGAGAAGGGCGGGUAACCUUUUAAAUCAGCUUCGUGGUAGGGAUCGGGGCUUGCAAUUGUUCCCCGUGAACCAGGAAUUCCUAGUAGACGCGAGUCAUAAGCUCGCAUCGAUUAAGUCCCUGCCCUUUGUACACACCGCCCGUCGCUACUACCGAUUGAACGUUUUAGUGAGGCAUUUGGACCGACGCAUCUCAGUUUAACCGCUGGUUUGUGUUGGAAAGACUUCCAAACUUGAGCGUUUAGAGGAAGUAAAAGUCGUAACA